UAAUAGCGUAUAUUAAAGUUGUUGCGGUUAAAAAGCUCGUAGUUGGAUUUCUGUUGAAGCAGCCGGUCCGCACUACGUGCGUGUAUCUGGUUUGGUUUCGGCAUCCUCUCGAAACACGCUACUGUGCUUGAUUGCAUGGUGCGGGGUUCGGGACUUUUACUUUGAGGAAAUUAGAGUGUUCACGGCAGGCAUUCGCCUUGAAUAUAUUAGCAUGGAAUAAUAAUAUAGGAUCUGAUGCCUAUUUUGUUGGUUUCUAGGUGUUAGAUAAUGAUUAAUAGGGACAAUUGGGGGGAUUCGUAUUACGGCGUCAGAGGUGGAAUUCUUGGAUUGCCGUACGACGAACUACUGCGAAAGCAUUUCUCAAGGAUGUUUUCAUUGAUCAAGAACGAAAGUAAGGGGAUCGAAGAUGAUUAGAUACCAU
rnacentral:rRNA from 1 species